GCCCUGGUGGCGCAACAGUUAAGUGCUCAGCUGCUAACUGAAAAGUUGGUGGUUUAAACCCAUCCUGAGGCU
rnacentral:tRNA from 1 species